rnacentral:rRNA from 1 species
GCAUAUCAAUAAGCGGAGGAAAAGAAACCAACAGGGAUUGCCCUAGUAACGGCGAGUGAAGCGGCAACAGCUCAAAUUUGAAAUCUGGCCUCGGCCCGAGUUGUAAUUUGCAGAGGAUGCUUCUGGCGCGGUGCCUUCCGAGUUCCCUGGAACGGGACGCCACAGAGGGUGAGAGCCCCGUAUGGUCGGACACCAAGCCUGUGUGAAGCUCCUUCGACGAGUCGAGUAGUUUGGGAAUGCUGCUCUAAAUGGGAGGUAAAUCUCUUCUAAAGCUAAAUACCGGCCAGAGACCGAUAGCGCACAAGUAGAGUGAUCGAAAGAUGAAAAGCACCUUGAAAAGGGGGUUAAAUAGUACGUGAAAUUGUUGAAAGGGAAGCACUUGUGACCAGACUUGGGCCGGGCGGCUCAUCAGGGGUUCUCCCCUGUGCACUCCGCCCGGCACAGGCCAGCAUCGGUUCUCGCGGGGGGAUAAGACCGCCGGGAACGUAGCACCCUCCGGGGUGUGUUAUAGCCCGGCGGACGAUACCCCCGCGGGGACCGAGGUCCGCGCUCCGCAAGGAUGCUGGCGUAAUGGUCACCAGUGACCCGUCUUGAAACACGGACCAAGGAGUCGUCCAUUAGAGCGAGCGUUUGGGUGUAAAACCCGCACGCGUAAUGAAAGUGAACGCAGGUGAGAGCUUCGGCGCAUCAUCGACCGAUCCUGAUGUUCUCGGAAGGAUUUGAGUAAGAGUUUUAACGGACGGACCCGAAAGACAGUGAACUAUGCUUGUAUAGGGUGAAGCCAGAGGAAACUCUGGUGGAGGCUCGCAGCGGUUCUGACGUGCAAAUCGAUCGUCAAAUAUGAGCAUGGGGGCGAAAGACUAAUCGAACUGUCUAGUAGCUGGUUACCGCC